AAGGAUGUAGCUCAGGGAUAGAGCAUUUGCCUAGCAUGUGCAAGGCCCUGGGUUCCAUCCCCAGCACCCUAA
rnacentral:tRNA from 1 species